rnacentral:lncRNA from 1 species
AAUCCCUCGGGGAGGCAUAAAAAAUCAGGUCUUGAAGAGCCUCAUCUUUGAAGUGGGAAUGGUCAAAUAGAGAGAAAAAAUCAUAAUAUGUGAAAGGUUCACCGAUUGAAUACAAAGUUUAACCCACCCACUCUAUUUCCAAAAUUUCCACAAUUGCAAUUGUUUGGAAUGCAAGGGACGUCAGCAAUGGCCCCACGCAUAGACGUCUCGACGAUCUUGCUCGGA